rnacentral:misc_RNA from 1 species
AAAAAAAAAAUUAAAUGUGCCAAUAUAAGCAAUAUGAUGUUGCAUAACUCAAACAAGACCAAAGAACCACUAUCUAAAACCUAGACUUCAAAUAAAUAAGACUUUUCUUAUGCUCAGUAUGAUAUAAACUAAAGUGUCUAAUUCUAGAAUUGUAUGUCAAUGAAUUCAAAAAGAUACACGCAUGACAGUUGACUCAUUAAUCCAAAUACAACAUAUUACAAUAUAUCAAUAAGAAAUAAAGGAUUGUAUCACAAUUCACAAUUAAAUGGUUAAUUAGCAUCUGCAGCUUCAGAGAUCAGACUACAAAUAUAGCAGGACAGGUCAGGUUGAAGGCCAGUUCAAGGCAUAACAUACAGGAUAGAACUUGCUGCCCAAAAAAAAAAAAAAA